rnacentral:rRNA from 1 species
UACGUAGGGUGCAAGCGUUGUCCGGAAUUAUUGGGCGUAAAGAGCUCGUAGGCGGUUUGUUGCGUCGGCUGUGAAAUCCCGAGGCUCAACCUCGGGUCUGCAGUCGAUACGAGCAAACUAGAGUGUUGCAGGGGAGACUGGAAUUCCUGGUGUAGCGGUGAAAUGCGCAGAUAUCAGGAGGAACACCGGUGGCGAAGGCGGGUCUCUGGGCCGAUACUGACGCUGGAGGAGCGAAAGCCGUGGGGAGCGAACAGG